AUUAUACAGCGAAACUGUCGAAUGGCUCAUUAAAUCAGUUAUCGUUUAUUUGAUAGUACCUUACUACUUGGAUAACCGUGGUAAUUCUAGAGCUAAUACAUGCUAAAAACCCCGACUCGCGGAGGGGUGUAUUUAUUAGAUUAAAAACCAAUGCCCUUCGGGGCUCCUUGGUGAUUCAUAAUAACUUCUCGAAUCGCAUGGCCUUGCGCCGGCGAUGGUUCAUUCAAAUUUCUGCCCUAUCAACUUUCGAUGGCAGGGUCUUGGCCUGCCAUGGUUACAACGGGUAACGGAGGGUUAGGGCUCGACCCCGGAGAAGGAGCCUGAGAAACGGCUACUACAUCCAAGGAAGGCAGCAGGCGCGCAAAUUACCCAAUCCCGAUUCGGGGAGGUAGUGACAAUAAAUACUGAUACAGGGCUCUUUAGGGUCUUGUAAUUGGAAUGAGUACAAUUUAAAUCCCUUAACGAGGAACAAUUGGAGGGCAAGUCUGGUGAACAGAGUGCUGGCGCCAGAGAGAGUUAAUUCCAGCUCCAAUAGCGUAUAUUAAAGUUGUUGCAGUUAAAAAGCUCGUAGUUGAACCUUGGGCCUGGCUGGCCGGUCCGCCUCACCGCGUGCACUGGUUCGGCCGGGCCUUUCCCUCUGGGGAACCUCAUGCUCUUCACUGAGUGUGCUGGGGAACCAGGACUUUUACUGUGAAAAAAUUAGAGUGUUCAAAGCAGGCCUAUGCUCGAAUACAUUAGCAUGGAAUAAUAGAAUAGGACGUGUGGUUCUAUUUUGUUGGUUUCUAGGACCGCCGUAAUGAUUAAUAGGGACAGUCGGGGGCAUCAGUAUUCAAUUGUCAGAGGUGAAAUUCUUGGAUUUAUUGAAGACUAACUACUGCGAAAGCAUUUGCCAAGGAUGUUUUCAUUAAUCAGGAACGAAAGUUAGGGGAUAGAAGACGAUCAGAUACCGUCGUAGUCUUAACCAUAAACUAUGCCAACUAAGGAUCGGACGAUGUUAUUUUUUGACUCGUUCGGCACUUUACGAGAAAUCAAAGUCUUUGG
rnacentral:rRNA from 1 species